rnacentral:tRNA from 1 species
AGAGAGAUAACUCAGUGGGUAAGAGUGCUUGCUUUGCAAGCAAGAAGAGCAGAUUUUUUUUUA